rnacentral:rRNA from 1 species
AUUUUUGGAGAGUUUGAUCCUGGCUCAGAGUGAACGCUGGCGGCGUGCUUAACACAUGCAAGUCGAACGAGAACGGGUUAUAGCUUGCUAUAACUGUCAGCUAAGUGGCGCACGGGUGAGUAAUAUAUAGGUAACAUGCCCCAAAGAAGAGGAUAACGUUUGGAAACGAACGCUAAGACUCUAUAUGCCUUUAAGUCAUAAGACUGCAAGGGAAAUAUUUAUAGCUUUGGGAUUGGCCUGUACAGUAUCAGCUAGUUGGUGAGGUAAUGGCUCACCAAGGCAAUGACGCUUAACUGGUUUGAGAGGAUGAUCAGUCACACUGGAACUGAGACACGGUCCAGACUCCUACGGGAGGCAGCAGUGGGGAAUAUUGCACAAUGGACGAAAGUCUGAUGC